rnacentral:lncRNA from 1 species
CACAUUCCCAUAACCUCAGUAUAUAAGGUAUGCUGAGGAGGCCUCAAGCCAUUCCAGGCUCUUCUGUGCCUGUGGGACUACAUUCUCUGUGCCGGGCUUAGAGAACACGAAGAGGGAGCCAUCUGCCACACUCUGGAGGCUGAAGCCUGCACCAGUGCUGCUCGCCUCACUGUGGUAGGUGGUGGUGAUGGAAACUGCAGAUCGGCCAGAGUGGUAGAAAAGUUGCUGCAGGGUUUUUCUGGCUUUGCCUGCCCAGCUGCUCCAUGCCUGGCUAGAGGAGAAGGAGGAGCCACAUGUGGUACACUGGAGGCUGGAGCCUGCAGAUGGCAUGGCUCUGCGGCUCACCUUGCUGCAGUUGGUGGUGGUGACAGAGACUGCAGCUUGACUGUAGUGUCCAUGUUCUCCAGAGAAGCAGAACGAGUUGGAUGUAUGUUUUGGAAGAGAUUAUGAGGAACCGGCUCAUGUGAUGAAGGAGGUUGAGAGGUCCUGUGCUCUGCCAUCUGCAAGCUGAAGACCUGGAAAGCUGAGGGUGUGGCUCCAGUCUGAGUCUGAAGGCCCAAGAACCAGGGGAACCAACGGUGUAGAUUCCAGGUUGAAGGCAGGAGAAGAUGGAUGUCCCAGCUCAGCAGGCAGGCAGGAAGCAAAUGGGGUAAAUUCCUCCUUCCUCCA